rnacentral:rRNA from 1 species
UACGGAGGAUGCGAGCGUUAUCCGGAUUUAUUGGGUUUAAAGGGUGCGUAGGCGGCUUUUUAAGUCAGCGGUGAAAUUUUGCAGCUCAACUGUAAAAGUGCCUUCGAAACUGGUUUCCUUGAGUGUAGAUGAAGUAGGCGGAAUUUGUGGUGUAGCGGUGAAAUGCAUAGAUAUCACGAGGAACUCCGAUUGCGCAGGCAGCUUACUAAACUACUACUGACGCUCAGGCACGAAGGCGUGGGGAUCAAACAGGAUUAGAUACCCCCGUA